rnacentral:ncRNA from 1 species
AAAUCCUGUCUAAUUAAGGUCUGGCCAACCGAUUAGUAGCGAGUCUUGAGUAGCUGUCAGUAAUGACAGUUGCUAAGCGUAGACAGCGAGCAAGUAGGGUUGUAAUGCGAUUGAGCAUCGAAAGGUUAACUAUCAGAUGGCUGACGUUGUAACUGAGGCGGAAAGCAACAUCGGAUGGUGCGUUAAAGGCAAGAACCAUUCGGCACUGCGGGGUCAAAGAGC